AUGCUUGGUAGGUACUCCGUGAUUCACAAUUUCAUUACCACCCGAGGACAGUUGAGCUUGAGGUAUGUACCUCACUUAUCAUUUUUCAUCCAUUUAUAUAUGAGGUCUCUAUAAUUAUUAAUCAUCUUAAUAUUUAAUAAAGAAAUUGUAGGGACUAGGUUUGAGCACCUCCACUAUUGGAUGAGUGAACUCAAGCCCAACUAGCCUAAUACAAUUAAUUUGUAGAGAAUGGGUUUUAGAACUAGGCCUCAGUGAGGAUUGCAACAAACAAACAUAGUUGUGGAGGGGUUUGAUUACAAGAAUAUAAACUAAAGCAUGAAAUUCUGCUCCUUGGCACUCUCCUGAGGAACGUGUAAUUCUUGUUAUUUCUUCAAUGCUUGGUUACAAAGAUCUCUUAGAUGAUUUCAGUCAUUAUGGUCUUUCCUACUUCUAAUUGCUUAUCCCCUCUCUCAAAGGAAUUUCUUAUGUUAUAUAUCUCCUUUCAGUUGAUCUUGGCCCUCUAUUUGUUGAUCAUGUAGGUUGCUACUUGAGUGUCUGUCCCAUCAACCGCAUUCCUAUUCUUUCUCUGGGUUGCAGCAACCAAGGCUGCACUGUUUAGGGAUAAUUUCCUCAUUAAUGUGGCCAGAACGUUAGUUGUGGGCAUUUAAUGUAAAAGUAACAGUUCAUCCUAGAAUUGUUCUUCCACCAUGUUUCUAUGGCUGACAUGUUGUACUUGCUCUUUCUCCUAGGAUGCUCCGGGAGGCUACUUUUGAUGGCUCUCUGCUUUCUCCUCCCAUGGUCUUGAUUGGCCGAGGACAGGAUUAUCCUUGGUAACAUCUCUGGGCAAUUUGGGCUUUCUCACUUCGUCCUCGGGUGUCUCUUCCUCCUCGACCUAGGCCUUGGGCCUGGUACAAAGUGGGCCGAGGUUGCCAGAUUCUUUAGGCCCCACAGAAAUAAUAUAAUUUAAUAAUAAAUUUGUUGAAAAAACACAUUAAUUUAAUAAAAAAUUAUUGAUAUGUGUCCAUUUUAAGAUAUGAAAUUAUUGACAUGCCUUAAAAUUAUUUAAUAUAUUACAUCACUCCUAUAAACAAAAGCACAAGAUUGACAUGUAUUCAUUUUAAGAUGCAUAUUACUAUCAUGUCCCCUUAUAUGCUCAAAAGCAUCAAACAAAUUUCUUUGUACAUUGCAUGAUUUACGAUUGGUUAAUAUUGUAAAAGCAUUUGUAAAAGAGUUCUAGCUCAAAGUUAGUCCACUUAUUUGUUGCCUUGAUGUUGUUUCCUUGCUACUUAAAAAAUAAUAAUAAUAAAUAAAAAGAAAUUAUUAGAUACUUUUGGAGUACAAUAAUGUGGUAUUCAUUGCUCUCGUAUUCAACGUAAAUCUCACAAAUUAAAUUUAUUGUGUUGUAAGAUGAAAGAACACCAUGUCACCAUUAAUCUGAGAGUAUUUAUUAAUCAUUUUCAAUCUGUCUCACACACAUUCACACGUAUGAGCAAACUCACAUACACUUUAGGGGCAAAAGAAUACUGGUUGGAAUUAAAUGCUGACCCAGUCGCGAACUAGAAUUCGAAAAUGGUGGGUGAAUUUUCUCUCCAAGUGUUAAAGUUCAUGCUCUUUCUCUUUCUUACUACAAAAUGAAAUUCUAGGGCCUAUUUAGUAGGAAGAUUUUUGUUUUUAUUUUCAAAACAGUGUGAAAAUAAUUUUCAAAAAAUUGAAAUUGAAACUAAUUUUCAUAUAAUAAUUUUUAUUUAAUAAGAACAAUUUUCAAAAUACUAGGAAAUAAAAAUUUGGGAAACUAUUUCUAUUUUUGAGAUUUCUUUAAAAACUUUUUUUAAAAAGUAAUAUGUAGAUUACUUUUUUUUUUUUUUUUUUGAUAAUGAUAAGGUAAUAAAUUUCAAUAUACCUUUUUUCUAAAUUAUUAUUAUAAUGAUAAAUUUCAAAUUUGAAGGAUGAAAAUUUUUUUGUGAUAAAGAUAAGCUCCUUAAUUUAAGAAAUAGAAGAGUUUGGACAAAUCUGUGAGGUCCACCAUUUUGAGUGUUUUCAAUUUAUUUACAAUUAUACCAUUAAAAACAUUUUCUGUAUCUUGAAAACGUCCCUUGAGCUGUUUUCAAAAUCCUAAUUUGAAUAAGGAAAAUAUGAUACAUUUUUUUAAAAACAAUAUUUAAAGAAUAUUAGCCAAAUAAUAAAUUCAAGUGUAGAGUCCACCAUUUAUAGAUUGCAAAAUAAAAAACUAUAUUUGAAUACCCUUACCAAUCAGUCCUUAAAUUCAACAAUUCCAUUUUUUAAAAUGAAAUAACCGAAUCAGGAACAGGAAAUCCACAUUUCUCUUGGAUAUGGCCAAAAUAAUACUAAUAAUAAGAUAAGUAUUAUCAAAGUUGUUAGAAUAUCAUUUCAUAAGUUAUUUUCACUCGAAAUCUGUAGUCUAUCUAGAAAUAGAUUAACUCCCAACUAUUUAUCUCUUGCAGACCAUCACUUUUCUUUUAUUAUAUUUAAUCUUUUAUAUAAGAGACUAUCACUUGCAUGUUAUCUUUUCCAAAUUUUAUUUUAAAAUUAAAAGAAUCUCUUAUCACAAUAGUAAUCAUCUUAAAAUUUUAAAAAUCUCUUAUCACAAUUUUAAUCAUCAUAUCGAAAUCAACGCAAAAAAAAAAAAAAAAAAAAAAAAAAAAAAAAAAAAAAAAAAAAAAAAAAAGAAAAACUCUAAUCGUCAUACCAACCAAUGUUCAAGAUACACAUUUACUAAAAGAAAUGUCGUGCUAAAAAAACACAAAAGAACUAAACUAGAGAAUCAUAUUCCUUAAUUAUAAUUAUCACAAAAAUAGUGUAUAUAUAUAUUUCUAAGUUUUUUAUAGGAUCACAUGUAAGUUUAGGUUAUAAAAGACUUAAAAGAAGUAUUUUAUUAUUAUUUUUUUUUAAGAAUAAAAAAGGAGCAGUACUUGAUGAGUAGAUGUAACAUUGUAAUGUUCAAAUAAAUUCAUGGGUUUCAUGGGGUCUAGGUCCUGGAUUGAACCCAAUCUCUAUUUGGGUUAGAUACAAACUUGAAAGUGGAAACCCCAAGUAGAGAAAACGAUGGUACUUUUUUUUUUUUUUUUUUUUUGAGAAAGAAAAGAUGGUAAAAUUUAAAUGUAUUGGAUGGAUAUAUGCGUGUCUGUUUCGGUUUAAAAGUUGCUUAUUUUCAGUAACUUAUAUGGAUAAUGCAAAAUAAAAAGAUAAAAGUGAACUUAAAAAAAAAAUACCAUUUAAAUUAUUUUUAAAAAAUACAAUAGAUAAUUUAAGCAAAAAAGUUUGCUUUUUUAAUUUGGUACCAAACUCACAAGCUCCCCCCAAACAAGCACAGACGCGUUAUAUUAAAACGAAAAAAAAAAAAAGAGAAGGCGUUUGUUGCCGAAAGAUUGGCUCGCUCAACGAACGCUUCAACGGCAUUAAUUCCCGGCCAUUAAGGGUUUGUUUGUUUUAUUUUGUUUUUCUUGUUUUUGUGUUUUUUUUUCUCUCUCUCUCUCUCUGUUUCUGUUUCUGUUUCUGUCUCUGUGUCUGUGUCUUUGAUCUCUCUCUAGCUUCUUCAACCCAAAAAAAAAGAAAAAAAAAAAGAAAAAGAAAAAAAGAAAUCCUACAUUCCCUUUCUCUAGGGUUAGGUCGAUUGCACAACCUUUAUUGUAGUUUUUUUCACAAUUUCUAUUUCUUUUUUACAUUUCUAAAAUAGGAAUUUCUUUUUUUUUUUUGAAAAAAAAAUUCUGGGUUUUUUUUUUUUUUUUAUUUUUCCAUACAGAUAUGUGACUGA
rnacentral:sRNA from 1 species